UACGGAGGGUGCAAGCGUUAUCCGGAUUCACUGGGUUUAAAGGGUGCGUAGGCGGGUUGGUAAGUCCGUGGUGAAAUCCCCAAGCUUAACUUGGGAACUGCCGUGGAUACUAUCAAUCUUGAAUAUCGUGGAGGUAAGCGGAAUAUGUCAUGUAGCGGUGAAGUGCUUAGAUAUGACAUAGAACACCAAUUGCGUAGGCAGCUUACUACACGAUCAUUGACGCUGAGGCACGAAAGCGUGGGGAGCAAACAGG
rnacentral:rRNA from 1 species